rnacentral:tRNA from 1 species
GCGGGCGUAGUUCAGUGGUAGAACGUCAGCUUCCCAAGCUGAAUGUCGCCGGUUCGAGUCCGGUCGCCCGCU